GAAAAUUACUCAGGCUUUUGGACCUGAUGUGUUGUCAUCAGGAGGGACUGAAACAAGGUGCUCUCUGUGCCUUCCAUGAGUUCUGGGGGUCCAGAAUAAAGACUGGAUUGGAGCCUGGAGUGGGGAGCCUACAAGAAUCUUGAUAGCCCCCUUACCAAGCAUUCCUGCAGGAGUCUGUCUGUGAGGUCUGUUCCGAGCGCUUUCCUGACACCGGCUCCCGCUCCUCGGACUCACGGCGAAACACAGGCUUUCAUUGUGCUGCGAUAGGAGAGGGAGAGAAAGAGAGAGAGAGAGAGCCCGCAGCCCGCCCCCCUGACGAUAUGAUUUUCCGUUUUCAAUAAGCUGCAAACGACACCACUGGGCACCCCAACAAGAGCUGGGUGAGCACGGAGGAAAAGCUCAUUUACACUGUGAGGAAGUUGUUGUGCAUGUGGCCAGAGGACAACUUUGUGGAAUCCAGUACUAUCCUUCCACUUGGGCUCCAGUGACUGAACUCAGGACCGGCUGCCACAAGAUCCUGCCACAGGACUUCUUCACCAUGAUGGACUAUAGCACAUACCUAAAAUUCACCAAAAUGGGCUCCAAGAACACAACAUGAUGUAUCAUAUAAGGAUCUGAAGGCACAAAUGUCCUGACUUAAGUAUCUGUCUCUAUGCUCAAGUGCACAAGUUCAGUACUAGCUACAUAAUUUUAAUAGUCACCUAUGUCACUUUUUCUGAAGCUGCAAUACACAGGAACACAGAGUUAAUGAUGCUCUGAAGACAGCGUUUCUCUGUGAAGCUGUGGCUAUUCUGAAACUCACUAUGUGGUCCAGGCCAGCCUCAAACUAAAACUCAAAAGAUUUGCCUGCUCCUGACUCCUGAGUGAUGAGAUUAAAGGAGCCCAUGGGGACCAGAACUGUGCAUGAGAUCAUAUAAAACCGGAAUUAUAAACAGCUGUGAGCUGCCAUGUGAGAACUGAGAGCUGAAAAAGGGUCUUCUGAGUGAGCAGCAAUACUCUUAAUCACUGAGCCAUCUCUCCAGUCCCCAAGAAUAAAAUCUAUAAAUGAUUUUCCUAAUCUUUAUUUUAAUGUUAACAGAGAUCUGGUCAACUACUGUCCAACAGUACUAAUGAAUCAUACUUCCCAAUAAAUCAUAUUUCCUCCAUUUUAUUUCAUUUUUAUUUAUUUUUUUCCUCUACUUUAAUAAUGGAAGAUUUACGAACAACUUUAGUUCUCUCUAUUCUCCCAAAACAUACAUUCUCCAAAGAUAAGCAGAGUCACUAGAAGAAGUUUUCAAAUAUUUACAAAUUCAGCCUUCUUACAAAGUAAGAUUAGAAACAAAAACAGAAUAUGUAUUUUUAUGAGUUCCCACUCUUGUCAAUUACUUAUUUUUUAUUUUUUUUGAGACAGGGUUUUUUUUUGUGGCCCUGCCUGUCCUGGAACUAGUUCUGUAGAGCAGACUGGCCUAUUCCUGCUUCUGCAUACCUCCUGAGCACAGAUUAAAGGUGUGAAGCACCAAGCCUAGCCAUUAUUUAUUCUUGAAGCCUCUCUAUGUCCAGAUUUAACAUCAUCUUAAUCAGGUAAAUGAUUGCUCUAGACACUGGCAUGCCAGAUAAAAAUCUGAAUUGUCUCUUUAUAAGAUGAACAGGCAUCUUCAAUUAUUAACCUAUAAACCACUAAUUUGAAUACUAUCUGACAUGAGGUCUUGACCUGGGUUAUAGUCUUCUUUGGACUUCAAAGGCAGUACCUGUUUUCUUGCCCAAGUGACCUUCUUUAUCACUCUGAUCCUAUACAUCUCUGUCCUAAGAUAUGACUCACUGAGAUUAAGGCUACGUACUGAUUUGAUCUCACUGAAUUAGGGGUGAAUGUGCUAUAAAGACACAUUUGCACCUUUGAAAAUUGUACCCUGGCAUAAGGGGUAGCGUGCUCACUUAGCAAGCUGAGGCCCUAGGUUUAGUAUCUGUGGCAUACUGAUAGAAAUAAAGAAA